UACGCAAGUGGCAAGCGGUGUCCGGAAUUAUUGGGCGUAAAGCGCGCGCAGGCGGUUAUGUAAGUCUGAUGUUAAAGCCCUGGGCUCAACCUCGGUUCGCAUUGGAAACUGUGUAACUUGAGUGCAGAAGAGGAAAGUGGUAUUCCACGUGUAGCGGUGAAAUGCGUAGAUAUGUGGAGGAACACCAGUGGCGAAGGCGAAUUUCGGGUCUGUAAAUGAUCCUGAGGCGCGAAAGCGUGGGGAGCAAACAGG
rnacentral:rRNA from 1 species